UGUCUGCAAAACGUUUUUCUGCCGAGAGCACAUAAGCAAGGAACAUGGAGAAGAAUCCUUUGGUAGCCCCAUUACUAAUCCUCUGGCUUCAUCUUGACUGCGCGAGCAGCAUACUGAAUGUGGAACAAAGUCCUCAGUCACUGCGGGUUCAGGAGGGAGACAGCACCAAUUUCACCUGCAGCUUCCCUUCCAGCAAUUUUUAUGCCUUACACUGGUACAGAUGGGAAACUGCAAAAAGCCCCGAGAACUUGCUUGUAAUGACUUUAAAUGGGGAUGAAAAGAAGAAAGGACGAAUAAAUGUCACCCUUAAUACAAAGGAGGGUUACAGCUAUUUGUACAUCAAAGGAUCCCAGCCUGAAGACUCAGCCACAUACCUCUGUGCCAUUACACAGUGCUAUUCAGACACCUGCAGCCCAUACGCAAACCUGUGGCUGGUGUUGCACUGCUACUCAGUAUAG